rnacentral:rRNA from 1 species
ACCAGAGUACUAUGAAUUAUAAAAUUUAAAACUCAAAGAACUUGGCGGUGUUUUAGACCAUUUAGGGGAACCUGUCUCAUAAUCGACGAUCCGCGUUAUACCUAACCUUUUUUUGUAUUCAGCCUGUAUACCGUUGUCGUCAGGUAACUUUUUAGAAACUAGGAGUUAGCUGGAAAAAGGAUAGUUUUGUACGUCAAAUCAAGGUGCAGCUUAUAAAAAGGGGAGGAUGGGUUACAAUUAUUUAGUUAUAAUUACGGAGCAUUAUAUGAAUUGAUAAUGAUAAGGAGGACUUGAAAGUAAAUUAGGUUUAUAGAGAUAAUUUGAAUAAGGCUCUGAAACGUGU